UUGAUAAAACCCUAGAUUGUUAUACUUCGUGUUGAUCGUCUGAAUCUCGGACGGACCACGAUUUUUGCCGGUAUGUUGAGCGUACGAAUCUAGGACGCUCGUAGUCCCAAUUUUGGACUUUUAACUGUUAGUUAUAAAAUUAUGGUUUAUUCUUUUCAACACAUUUAAAACCGUACCCAAUGAAUCGACUUUCUCUCUCACACAUUAUUUACGACAAAAUAACUGAAGGGGGCUGCUAUGUGAAUAUCAGUGUGAAAUCCGAGCCCGGUGUGGUCGCACGUAUUUGCGAAUUUAUUUAAUAAAAAUAACGGUUCAGUGAUUUUUUUUAUUGUUUAAUAAUGGAAUCGUAAGUAUUAAUUCAUUAUAUUUUACUGACGUGGCGUAAAUGUUAUUUGCAUUUUAUGACAAAAACAGUCUUUGAAGCAACAGCCUCGUCAUUACGGUUUUUUGUAAUGAGAUCAAUAUUGUAAUGAACUUAAUUAAAAGUAUUACAAAGGACGUGUAUUUUAUUCGCAAAUGUAAAAAUUUCGAAUUCAAAUAUGUGAACACACUCAAGCGUCCGAAUUCCGGACUCGUCACAGAUAGGGUUUUGUUUAACAAAAGGCCGCUGUUGACCAAAUAUAGAUAAGGCGUUUGAAUUUCAUAUUAAUUUUUUGUUUUUUUUUUACAGAAAUUUGUAUUUUUUAUAUUUUAUGUUCUUUCCGUGAUUUUUACCAUUUUAUUUGGGACUUUUUUAUGGUUUUGUACUUAGUGUUAGAUUAAAGUAUUUUAUUAUUAUUUAAGAUUUAAACAUAUCAUUAAAGUUUAUCAACACUAUUGAAAAUUAUGAAGAGCCUAUUUUGUUUUAUAUCUAUUAAAAAAAUUGCAGGUGCGUCUGAGAAAACAGUUUCGAGUAUAACACAAGAAGGAAAAGUAGCGGCUAGUAAAGGAUUAUCACACCAUGGAAGAGUCGCCCACGUGCGAAAAAAAUAGAUUUCGAUGGAUUCGAUUUAUGUGCUAUUCGCAAUAAAUUCAUCAGUUUUAUAGGGUAAAAAAAAGAACUUCCUACUUUAAAUAAAAAAGAAGACAUGGGGUGUGAAGGAAGCCGCGCCACGCUACAUAGAAUACUGCAAAGUAUUGGUUUUAAAAAUAAAAACGAUGCCAGUCAAAAAGGAAGUUAUUAAUGGAACGGUACGAUAUAACUGCUUGGCGCGCUAGAUACAUAGAAAAAAUGAGACAAAAUUGAACCGUAGAAAAAAGACCCAUGGUGUGCUUGGAUGAAACCUAUACCCAUAAUACAUAUCAUGCCUAAAGUUCCUGGAGAGCCAGGGCUAUUCAUUUCUGAGUCUGUCGGGAGUAAGUGAAUAAUUGCUCAUACUGGAUCUGAAAAUGGUUUUGUUGUGAAUGCUCUAUUAAUUUUUAAAUCCCAGUCAGUCAUCAGAUUAUCAUGAUAUGAACUCCGGUAUUUUCUGAAGUGGAUGACUGAAAAGGUAAUCCCAAAUUUGCCAGAAAAGUCACUUGUGGUUAUAGACAAUGCUCCAUACCACUGCACACAGCUAAACAAAGCGCCAACAAUGUUCACUUUCCUGGUAUCAUAAAGAUAACAGGAAAUACUUAGAAUAAGCACCUUUGUAAAGAAUAGUAUAUAAGAUUCUUAUGAUGCAAUAAAGUCAGUCUUAAUCCGCUCUUCAAGCUGAAUACUUGUCUUUUUAAAAAGCCUUUCGUCUCCGUCCACAAGCUAACUGGACUCGAAAAAUUUUUUAAAUUGACGGAAGAAGCGUUUACUAGCGUGACUUCAGAAGAUUGGUUUGUUCAGUGCAAACAUGUGGAGCAUUUCGAGGAUGUAUAUUUUAAGAAUGAAGGGCUGAUGGAUGAAGAAAUGGACCGGAUUAUUAUAACAACAGUAACUGAUAGUGAAACAAGAGUCGGAUGACCAAAGUAAUAUGGAUGACUAUGAUUCACGCAGUGACUGUUGUAUGUCUGAAAUAAACCCGAUAGGUGACCAUAAUUAUGUUGUUAAAAUAUAAUUAAAAUUAAAUUUUAUAAUAUAAUUAAAAUUAAAUUUUAUUUCCUGUAUUUUCUUUCUUUUAUGUAUACAUAAAAUAGCGAAUUGUUCAAUUUUAUUUACUACUUGCCACUAGCACUCUGUCCUCUAACUAGGGGAUUUUUGGGAAUUCAAUAGUAAACGCUGGCAACAUUUCGUCGCAUAACAGCAGCGCCGCGUCUGCAAGACUUCUUUCGUGAAAUGAACUCUAAUAGUAAGUUGAUGUUCACAUCUUGCUGUGCGACAGUGGUUUUAUAGUGUACGGAUACUCGCAACAGAGAGAUGUUUAUAUUAAUUAAUAAACGGAUUUAUUUCCUUCCACUGCGCAUAACUGACUAAUUGUAUAUUAAGUUGGACAGCUGUGCUGGCUCAGUUCAUGACCUAGCACGCAGCUACUACAGUGGUCAGCUGCUUUCAUACUAUUACUCUACAGAUGUAUAUUAAUUCUGCAUAUCAUAACGGUAGAUUACCACACCUACUUGAGUAUAGUUGUGUAUAACAAUUUGAAUAAUGACAAUUUAAUUUCAUAAUUUUUGUUAAUUGUGUAUGAUUGUAGCUCGCUUAUUACUUAUAUUUUAGUAUAAUUGGGUUUAGCGAGCUGCAUCUCAUUUUAUUAUUAUGUCUAGGAACGUUAUUAGGAACAUUCGAACGUUGCCUAGAAAUAUCGAAAAAAAAUGCAAUAGCAAACAACGGGUCAACUAGCUGUGAAUGAUUCCAUUUCGCUCGGUUUGAUGAUUGUUAUCUCAGUACCACAAGAGUUUUCUACACACAAAGAGUUUUCUUUCACAAUUUGCAUCGGUUGAUCCGUUCUUUCCAUAUCUUUAUCUCGUCUCAUACGAAAAAUCUAGAAAUCUGAGCAGUACGCAUUGUCGCCUCAGAGAGGAAGUAGGCCGUCCCGAUAUAAAUAUAUAAAAACGAAUUCGCGCAGGAGGAGAAGAAUCUCGACGCCAGAGAGUUCGCACGACAACUAUAUGUGAUUCAGAUUCGUGAUUAUUUGUUCUCCUUUUUGGAAAGUAGUAAAAUCAGUGCUAUACUAAAAUAAAAAGAAAAUUAAAAACGCAUUUUAUCAUUUUAGAACCCCCUUGGUGAAUUUGAUAUAAUUGAUUCCAAUAGGUUUGUUUGCUGUUAACAAAUUUUUCGUGUCUGGAUUAAUUCGAUUACUAUUCAACAAUUUUCGUUAACCUUUUCAUAGUGUAAAAAAUUGCUAUAGCUAUACUUAGUCUGGCCAUAAAUACUGUUAAAAUUAAAAAUAAACAAAAUAUUACAUUUGAAUUUGGAAUCUGUCAUUUUUUGCUCAUUGAGUUUUCUCAUUUUGGCGCCAAUACAUUGUACAAUAUUUUGCGAUAUUAAAAUGGAGUGGAGUGAUAAAGAGAACCGAAUCGCUGUGAUUGCAUUACACAAAGUAGGUAUGGAGCCAAAUGCAAUUUUUAAAACUCUUCAUAUGCUUGGUAUUAGUAAAAUGUUUGUGUACCGGGCUAUUAAUAGGUGCAAUGAGACCUCCUCUGUUCGUGACAGAAAAAGAUCUGGCCGUCCACGUAGUAUUCGUACGAAAAAGGUGGUCAAAGCAGUAAGGGAAAGAAUUCGAAGAAAUCCUGUCCGAAAGCAAAAGAUUUUAUCUCGGGAGAUAAAGAUAGCACCUAGAACCAUGUCGCGUAUUUUAAAAGAUGACUUAGGACUUGCAGCCUAUAAGAGACGUACUGGUCAUUUCUUAACUGAUAAUUUAAAAGAGAAUAGGGUGGUAAAAUCGAAACAACUACUGAAGCGGUACGCAAAGGGAGGUCAUAGAAAAAUUUUGUUUACGGAUGAGAACAUUUUUACAACUGUGUUGCUCAAUUUAACAUUUAAUGUUUUAACAAACAAAAUGACCGUAUUUUUGCUCAAAGCUAGCUCUAAGGAAGCUUCCUAAUUAGUCGACAGAGUGCAACGUGAGCACUAUCCGACUUCAGUGAUGGUUUGGUGGGGUAUUAACUAUUAAAACAUAAGCACAAGUGUACCAAGAUACCAUUCUUGAGAAGGUAGUGAAGCCCCUAACAACACCAUGUUCAAUAAUCAAGAAUGGUCCUUCCAGCAAGACUCGGCGCCAGGUCAUAAGCUCGGUCUACGCAGUCUUGGUUGGAAACGAACGUUUCGGACUUCAUCAGAGCUGAAGACUGGCCGUCGUCUAGUCCCGAUCUUAAUCCGCUGGAUUAUGAUUUAUGGUCAGUUUUAGAGAGUACGGCUUGCUCUAAACGCCAUAAUUUGGAGUCGCCGAAUACAACUUCAAAAUUGCAACCAUUGGAUCAAGGGAUUAUCCAUAAUUUUAAGACGUUCUAUCGCAAAGAAAUUGUUAAGAUCGUUUUCGAAUCUCUUGACAAGCAGCUAACUGCGAAUAUCACGGUUCUGACAGCUAUUUUACUGAUUGACAAGGCAUGGGGAGCUGUAACACCCAUAACGAUUUUCAACUGCUUAAAAAAAUCUGGUUUUUUAAAAGAAAUUUUUUCAAUACUUAUGGAUUAUGAAGAAUCAGCAGUAGAACCAUUAGUAGACAUCAGCGGUGUGAGUUUUUCUGACUUUGUUCAAGUGGAUGACGAUGUUGCUGUCUCAGGUGAACUAACCGAUGGCGAAAUUUUAUCUGCGACAGAUACGAAUGAAAAAAGCAACGAUGAAGAUGAGGACGAUACAUCAGAACCUUUAACAGAGGUGUCAGUUAAGGAAGCAUGAUCCUCAUUCGAUACCUUACAACGCUUCUGUCUACAAAACGAAAGUGAUGAAAAAGCAUUUCAGGCACUUUUUCUCUUAAAAAAAGUUAUUGAGCAGUCUGAGCAGCAGCAAUGUGUUUUGAAGCAAACCAGUAUAACAGUUCUUUCGAAAUAUUAAUUAAUUUACAUUAUGAAUAGGUUUAUGUAUAUAUACGAAUGUAGGUACAUGUAUGUAUGUAUGUAUACUCCAAACUUUUUUCAUUGUUAUAGAAUAGCAGUUAAUAAAUAAUUAUUGAUCAAUACUUAGUAAUUCGAAGUUUUAUUUAUUUUCUCUCACAAAUUUCGAACCAUUUGAUAUUUCAAACAUUAAUAUUUUAAGAGUCCCUCAAGUUUUGAAUUAACGAGAGUCGACUGUAUAUAUAUUGUAACUAAAUCUAUUUUAUUUUUGGAUCCAGUACAAGCAUAUAACACGAGAAGAAAUAAGACAAGCGCAGUUAACGUAAGCAAGUAUGACGAAAAUGUUGAGAAAAUACAGCCGUGUCUAAAAGAAAAAAUCAAAAUACAAAAAAAUGUCUUAGAAACAAUUUGCAGAAAAAGGAACGGCAAUAUGCGUAGCUCACCAGCAAUAUAGUUCGCGCUAGCGCCGAGCAUCGACGUAAGAUAGUACCAUAAGUAGUGCCGUUUUUGAUAAAGAUAUCAAUCACGUAGUUACCGAAAAGAGUUAGUUAUAUUAUUGAUACUAAAAAUAGUCCUGAAUAUUAUGUAAACACCGAAGAUCAAAAAACAUCUUUCAAUGUGCCGGAAAGUGAUGACGAUGCUGACUUUUGUGAUUCAAGCGAUAACCUUUAUGUACCAGAAACCACUGACGAAUCUGAUAAUGACUUCGAUAUUUGUGAUGAGACCUCAGCUACCAGCAAUUUAGUUUAUUUAUUAAUGAUAUUCCCCGGUCGCCGCCGACCCAGCUAGCCUUAUUCGCUGACGACACAACCGUUUACUACUCAAGUAGAAACAAGUCCCUAAUCGCGAGUAAACUCCAGAGCGCAGCGUUAGCCCUCGGACAGUGGUUCCGAAAAUGGCGCAUAGACAUCAACCCGGCGAAAAGCACAGCAGUGUUAUUUCAAAGGGGAAACUCACCGCUUAUUUCCUCCCGCAUUAGGAGGAGAAAUAUCACUCCCCCGAUCACCCUCUUCGGCCAACCUAUACCCUGGGUCAGGAAGGUUAAGUACCUGGGAGUCACCCUGGAUGCAUCCAUGACAUUCCGCCCACACAUAAAAACAGUCCGCGACCGUGCCGCAUUCAUUCUCGGCAGACUCUAUCCCAUGAUCUGUAAGCGGAGUAAAAUGUCCCUUCGGAACAAGGUGACACUUUACAAAACUUGCAUAAGGCCCAUCAUGACUUACGCGAGUGUGGUGUUCGCUCACGCGGCCCGCACACACAUAGACACCCUCCAAUCCCUACAAUCUCGCUUUUGCAGGUUAGCCGUCGGGGCUCCGUGGUUCGUGAGGAACGUUGACCUACACGACGACCUGGGCCUUGAAUCAAUCCAGAAAUACAUGAAGUCAGCGUCGGAACGAUACUUCGAUAAGGCUAUGCGUCAUGAUAAUCGCCUUAUCGUUGCCGCCGCUGACUACGCACCGAAUCCUGAUCAUGCAGGAGCCAGUCACCGUCGACGCCCUAGACACGUCCUUACGGAUCCAUCAGAUCCAAUAACCUUUGCAUUAGCAUUAGAGCAGGCUUAGGGACCCCAGUAACCGUACUCGUCGAACUCGACAAAGAGGUCGACGUGCAACCUAGCCCAUGCAUCAGCCCGCUGAGUUUCUCGCCGGAUCUUCUCAGCGGGUCGCGAUUCCGAUCCGGUAGUAGAUUCAUUCGCGAAGCAAUUGCUCUUGAGUUGUUAGGUCUCCUUCGGAGGCGCUCGGGCAGCUGUUAGCAAAUCCCACCCCUCCUGGCUGAGCCUUUGCUCGCCCACCUGUCCUGGUGAAACUGGAAAGGCCUUCGGGCCACCAGUAAUCUCUCAAUCAUAAAAAAAAAAAAAAAGCUACCAGCAACUCUAAGCAGAACCAUCAAGUGAGUAAAAAAAUUACAUAAAAACACAGAUUUUUCUAAAUUAUUAGAGCGACUUGGCGAAAAAUAGGCCUCUGGCACUCUCGCUCACUAAAACCAAAUACAACACAUAAUAUUGUUAUUUCACGCCGAUAUUCUGUGAGGAGGUGGUACUACCCGAAUCAAACGAGUUGUUUUUGUCACGACGGAUGGUUUCCGAAAGUAAUAAGUACAGUAUUGUCUAAUAAAAUUGUAGUGUUAACGCGAUUGUAUUAGCUUGGCUUUUGUAUGUAUGUAACGGAAUCUUUAGACUCGGUUUUUAAGAACUGCAAAACGUCGGAUUAAUUUGAAAUUUGUAUAUUUAUCAAGAACCCAGAAAAUUUUAUAAAUUUGUACUAUUAUAAAAAUAAGCAAUAAAAACUAAAAAGUUAAAGUACGCGUUGCGAACCCUCAGUUGCCUUAACCUUUAAUCUAGACAUGAAUAACUGAGCACACACAUACGACCGGAUACGUGAAAUAUAAUAGAAUAAAAACAUAUACCUAUUAUCCAUUGAUUAAUAUAUUUUUUUCUUUUAGGUUUCAUUUGAAAUUCACGAUGAAGCUACCAAAAACAAACAAACUGAAGGUCUUCUACCGAAGAAAAGGUAGGGGAUGAAAAGAAGAGGAUAUGACAAAGGGAUUGUUGUUUUUACUGUGGAAGUUUAAUUUUAAUUUCGCUAGACACGUUAUAAGAAAUCAUUCUAAUGAACCGGAAGUUCAAAAGAUGUUAUCGAUACCAAAAAAUAGUAAGUCUCGUAAACAAAUGCUUACCCUCUUGCUUAAGAAAGGAAAUUACAUUACUAACACUGAAAACUCUACGUUUAAGACAAUGAAAAAAAAAAUAUAUAACAGAAAUGACGACUAUUUACCUUGUACUAAAUGCUUAGGAUUUUACUCUCGAAAACAACUAUGGAAGCACAAAAAACUAUGUGACAGUAAUAAUCUCACAUCAAAUGUUCAAGUUGAUGCACAGAAUUUGUUGCUUCGUAACAUUGAACACAUAUGAAGUAAACCAAAAAUUAAAAGAUGAUGUUUUUCCACGUAUAAGGCCGGAUAAAAUAUCUAUGUUUGCGAAAAAAGAUUCUUUGAUCUGUACUUUUGAAUUCCAAUAUCUUAGGACACAUAGAGAAACUAUUUUAUAAAGUUAACCUCUAGAAAAAUGCGUGAGCUUGGUAAACUAUUAAAAGAACUAAAAAAAAAAAACCAAA